CCUUCCAAUGGAAGCACUUUAUUUGGUUUAAUUCCAUCUCCAGAGACACAGGGGCCAUUCCAGAACCUUUACAACGGCAAUGGGCCAUCACAACACCGAAAUGCCUCCAAAGUGUAGAAUUCGUGCCAUACACACAAAUAAACCCUGAAGUUUAGCGGUUGCCCAAGAUCAGGUUAAAACAGAAAUUUGGAUCACUUCUUCAAGAGGUUUUCUGAUGACAGAAGCACAGGAGGCAGAGCCAUUAGGAAGCGUGAAAUCGACUUCUCUGGGAAAAUACUUAACAUCAGCAUAACUUUUUCAUGUUCGGUUAACUUUUCCUCAGUAAUUACAGAUGUGACCAAACGGCCUUAGAGGCCUCCGCGCUACCGCUGGGAGACAGGCUCCUCUGUCUAACAACCUGAAAGCUUCAAGAUGAUCUGAUAAAAACCCAAAGGAAAAAAAUCCCAUUACAACUUCCCAUGCCUUUUUCUUGCUUUCCAUCCUGCAAAGGAAAAAUUGGGUAAAUGACAAGUUCCUCUCUCUCUCUCUCUUUUUUUUUAAGUUAUUUUAAGGGCAGCUUCUUCAAAAAAAUGAGUCAUUCUUACAACAAUGUUCUAGCAUCGGAGGAGAAAUGACGGGCAGCGGAGACGAGGGAGGGCUGAGAAGCACGUGAGAAAUUCCAGGUUCUACUCUAAGUGAACUGCUCCGUAAUAAUAUAUAGAUGAUUUCACAGUAGGAUUCCCAGAGAAAAUGGUAAUAUCUCAACUAUCCUAUAAUAACUUAUUUCCUCUAAUAAGCUCAGCUGAUACAGGCCUGCCCUCUCCCCAUUGCCACACAGACGGUGGAGAAGUUACCAAAGUUAACAUUGAAAAGCACUUGUUAUCCAUUCCUUUUUGGACGCAAGUGGUACAGGAGAGAAAAAAAAAAAAAAAAGGCACAGGGAACACAAGAGGAUACCAGCAUACUCUAUAUUGGGUUUAAUGGACACCAAAAAGAACAAAUUACUGCAGCUUAUAUCUUUUCCUCUAUGUUGGAAAACAUUAAUCUAUCCUGGCCCCUAAUAGGAAAGACGCAAUGCACAUGCAUUACCGAGGUUCUAAAAUCAGAUUUAAAAAAAACAAAACAAAACAUUUAGCAUCCUUGUGGAGUGGAGAGUGGGCAGCUUGACUUGGUGAAAUUCAGAAGUUCCUGGAGACAUCUGGCCACCCCACUGACAGAGGAGCCUUUGGUGGGGCCACUGGGACGGCCCGUAGGGACCGCGCCCCUGCUGGUUUGCAGGGACACAGGUGAGGCCCUGACUCUACUCGCCUUUUGGCCUCCUGGCUUCACUGUCAUCAGCCAAGAUGGUCUUCUCUCAACCGAGGAGCAUGCGAGGAUGGGCCCCCCCCACCCCACCCCCGGAGGUGCUGAUGGAGCAGUGCCCAGAUGCCCACGGCUGGGGAAGAAAGAGUGAAAGAGAAUUCAGGCUCGCUUGCUCGAAUCGGAAGCCACUUCCUCUUCCCCUGUUUGUUCCUGGCGUUCGCUGGCUGGGGGGCUCUUGCCAACCAGGGGUUAACUGAGCCGCUCCCGGAGGCUGGAGUGUGGUCAACCCUGGGGUUUGCUGAAAGGAACCCUUUUCCUACCCCUGAACGAAGGCCCAACCCUCAGGACCUGUCCUUUCUGUCCCUGUCCCUUGGGCUCCUCUAAGA
ensembl:lncRNA